CAUUUCUUUGCAAACCUUACCAUGCUAUAUAAACUAUAGCUAUGUUCUCUUGAGGUGCAUAUAUAGAGUUAUUUAAAUAUAUUAUUUAUUAUUGUCAAAUGAGACACUAUUUGUAAAGUAUAUAGCAGAGAGCUUGGCUUAUAGCAGGCACUUAAAUGUUUAUUCCUUUCCUUUUCCCUCCCUAGUAUACAGUAAUAUCCCUGGCAGGGAUAGCAAUAACAACUGUGGAGGAUUGGGCAGGACUAUGCUGGCCUAGGAGGAGAAACCUCACC
rnacentral:lncRNA from 1 species